CUUCGCUGUAGCUCCUACGGCGUCGAUUGCGUCCUAUCAAGAUCCUCUUUGCCGAUCGAUUCGACCUCUCUCGCGAAGUUCCCCGACCAGCGAUCGAUUUCUGAUGCUUAAUCGUGAUCCAGUCAUAGAUGAUCGAGUUACUUCAGCCAUCUACUCAAGUUCUAAAUUACUGCCUUGAUGAUGCACUUCAGUCAUAGAUGAUUGAGACUGAGUCAGUGAUUCCACUUCUUGAGCUAAUGGUCUUAUAAGAAGGUCAAUCUAACUGUGAUUUGAGGGGAAUCUGGGAAAGAUCACAAAUUUUAAUUACAAAGUGCCCCAUUUUGCAAAAUCUUUUCUACUCUUUAUUGGCAGAUCUACAUGACCUAUUCAUUGGCCUUCCGUCUUUUAGAGAAACUAUGGUUUAUGUACAGGAAGUGCUUGCUGAUAUCAAUGACGGAGAGCCAGUGUAAACAAUGCUGCAUGCUGUCCUAUGGAAAGAACCGAGAAAAGGAACUCGACAAAUUCGGAGCUUUUGUGCAAGCUCUAAGGAGCCGAACUAAAAAGUUCGGAUCUGUGGUGGCUGUAGUUGAAGCAAAUUUUGGCUGGUCUCAGGAGGCAUUGGAACGCAUCUGUGCCUCUCGAGAUUGUAGAGUUAAUCAAUCCAUGUUUCGUAGAGUUAUAUUAUGACGAUGAUGCAAAUGAUGAAGAGGUGUUGGUGAACAUGAAAGAAAAAGUCUUUUAGCAGAUAUGUCUACCAUAGCUGUUGGUCCAGGAGUUACAGCAGUUCUUGGUGCAUCAUCACCAUCAAAUGUUGUUUGUGCAUCUACAUUUAUCAAGCUUGCAACAUAUAAGAUUCCUGCUACUUUAAAGUUUGGCUUAGCUCAGCUGCAAAAGGCAGCUACUAUCGGACUUGGUAAGCUCCUUGGCUCAACAAAUUUACUCACACAUGGGCUCGCAGACACUGGAGCCAAGGCGUCCACCUCAAAGUUCACAGCAUCAGCUAAGAAAACUUUCGCCAUUACCCACUCUCUGACAGCAUUAACUGAGAGAUCAAGCUUGUUGGCCAUGAGGGCAUCAUUUGUUGAUAUUAUGAGAAAGAAGAGUGUCCAAUCAACAAAGUUUUCACCAUUGUCUUGCGGCAUGGUUGCUUGCACUGUGUUGCUGGCUUAUGGAAAUGAGGUUGAGUGUGCUGCUGAGUCAUUGCUAUGGCUGCAUCUGUGGGUUGUGGGCUUCAGAGCUUGCACCUAGAUACAUGAAGCUUUACAGUCUCUGAUGUACAAUUUUUUUGAAGAAAAUGAGGGCACAAUGAAGAAGGUUAAAGAUAUCCAUUUAUGAUUAGUUUAUGUUUAAUCAAUGGCCACAAAAGAAGACUAUGUUUUAGAUCUUCAGGAAACAGCAGUUUUGAUAUCACUCUAUGCCACAGCUUUGGUAGAGGUUUUGCCCCUUCCAGCAACAAUGUGGAUGACGCUUCUGAGACCAUGGUUUUGUGACUGUCUCGAGUGUUUCUUCCUCCAUGCAGGUCACACCUACCCAAAUCAGAUGUUCUCUUCAAACUAGUUAUGUGCAUCAACACUGACAUGUAUGAAAGUUUUUAAAAGGUGUUUAUAUAAAUUACAAUAACCAAUAGAGACUAACUACAAUGACAUGUAUGCUUGGUUUCAAGUUUUGGUUGGUUAUAUAUGCUAAUCUCAUAUUAAGAGGGUCUAUCAGAGUUGGUUUUCUUCCAGGCACAACUAGAAAAUUUUAGUCUUGAUGCUCAAGUAAAAGAUUGUUUUCUUCUCUUAUUAUAACUGCACCAGUUUGUCCCACAACACUGAAAAGGAGAUCCAGACAGCAUGGGAUUUCAAGAUGGCUUUCUCGCAAGAUAUUUAAGGUCAAUCAUUCAUUACAGAAGAUAUGCAAGGUUAGGAAGGAGUGAAGUAAGAUCCUGCUAUUGUCUUAUUGUGGCAGUAUCCUCACCCAGGAAGCAGGCAUUUAUGACCUCAGAGCCAAUACACAAGAAUCUUGUGCCAUUGUCUUCUUCCACUGACAUUGAACCUUGACAAUCUGCAUGGAAAGUGGAACUGUGGAACCACAUUUUUCUUUCCUUGGCAGGCACCAAAUGGCGGCAACAAGUCAGUUAAUCCCCCCUGUCUUGCUUAAACAUGAAAGAGAUGAAAAAAUGCUCAUGUCACAGAAUGCAGCCAUGACGACAAGUCAAAAUGAAUCUAGAAGUAGAGGCUGAUGAUGGAAUUAUAGAAUACAGUCACCCUUAUUCCAGCAUUACAGAUUCUUCUAGUGCCAGCAUCUCAGGUUGGCAUAUUGUCAAAAUAUCAAAAGAACACAUUUUUGUUACUGCACUAACAGUAAAGGCUAGUUACAAAGAUGACAGGCUUCAACGACUUGUUUGAGCAAAUAGGAAAGGGAUGCCGAUUGCCAAUUGGGAAAUUAUAGCUAAAGUAUAGGGAUGACAAGGAAGAGCAGGUGAUGUUAGUGACCGAUGCUGAUCUGCAGGAGCGCAUGAAGGUAUUGGAUUAUACCAGAUCAAACAGAGUGAAGCUUCAAGCAUAGGAUAUGUCAUAUCAUGUCGGCAGCUCAGCAAGUAGUAAUUGCCUAAAUCCAUGAAAAGCAGAGAGACAUAAUGUUGAAACCUCACCUGCUAAUCUUUGAGUUAUUAAAGAAUUGUUGUGAUGGCAAUCGAAGCAUUAUUUCUUGAAGUUAGACACCAAUGUUGUCAUCCUUACAUGCAGCAGAUAUAGAUAUCAAUUUUAUGUUCAUUGGAAGUCCUGUUAACAAACUUCCUGUGACCUCCAUUUUCGAAUAUUGUCACCUCUAUUUGGCCAAACUGUUUUUGGACCAAGCAGGUGUUGGAGUCUUCAUCUAGAGCUGCACGUUAGCAGACAUCAUUCUGAACAAAUCUAAAAUUCCAGGUUAUAUUAUCUUAGAUGUUCAUGACGGUUUGAUGGUUCACUUCAGCUAAAAUUCAAGGGUCUUUAUGACCAUAUGCUGCAUGACUUGAAUAUGAAUGCUCUGCUUGUUGAUAGACUGUCCGUUGAGUUUCUAUCAAUUGUACCAUGAUGGCUUUAAACUCAUCAGUUGUUCUGGAAAUCAAGAUCUACUAGGAUGAACCAGAAGCCAAGUUAUGCUACAACGCCUGAUAGAUUCUGGGUACAUCAGUUCAUCCAUGAUCAUACCUAAAACAUGAUUGGCUCACGAUUUUGAACCAAUAUAUGCAAAGGAUGAUGCUGUUUUCAAAGGUUCAAGAAAGUUGCCAUGUCAUUGAUACUUUUCAAAAUGCUGCUGAUGACAGAAGUAUGGAUCCUAGUUCGGUGUCUUCAUGUAUUCAGGGCAUAAAACUCUUGUACACACAAGUUUUCCAGUUUCGGUUUAGAUCAAGUAACAUUGAGAAAUCAUUCAGCAUUUCUUGAAAUGAUAUUCCCAUAUUUCAUC